rnacentral:rRNA from 1 species
CCUACGGGGGGCAGCAGUGAGGAAUAUUGGUCAAUGGGCGAGAGCCUGAACCAGCCAAGUCGCGUGAGGGAGUACUGCCCUAUGGGUUGUAAACCUCUUUUGUCGGGGAGCAAAAGCCGGACGUGUCCGGCUGUGAGAAUACCCGAAGAAAAAGCAUCGGCUAACUCCGUGCCAGCAGCCGCGGUAAUACGGAGGAUGCGAGCGUUAUCCGGAUUUAUUGGGUUUAAAGGGUGCGCAGGCGGAUUUUUAAGUCAGCGGUAAAAUCGCGGGGCUCAACCCCAUCCAGCCGUUGAAACUGGGGAUCUAGAGUGUGCGAGAGGUAUGCGGAAUGCGUGGUGUAGCGGUGAAAUGCAUAGAUAUCACGCAGAACCCCGAUUGCGAAGGCAGCAUACCGGUGCACAACUGACGCUCAGGCACGAAAGCGUGGGUAUCGAACAGGAUUAGAUACCCGGGUAGUC